rnacentral:lncRNA from 1 species
UAAUUAUGAUAGAUCACCUUAUGGUGUCCUAGUGUUAGAAAUUAAGAGUUUACUUUUGAAUAGGGAGGUUUCUUUCCUUAAGAUUAGUCGUGAACAAAAUAGAGUUGCACAUUGCUUAGCGAACUUUGGUCGUAGUGGUGAUAGCACUGCAUGUUGGUUGGGUAGACCACCUCCAUGUAUCACUAUGCUGGUUGCUGAGGAUUGUAAGUCUGUUACAGUUUAAUAAAAUCUCCC